rnacentral:snRNA from 1 species
CGCAAGUGAAAUACCACUAC